AAUUCUGGGAGUUGAAGUCCACAAGUCUUAAAGUGGCCAAGUUUGGAGACCUCUGCUCUACUUCAUCCAUCAUGCUCAACACUCUUGCUGGGGUGGAACCUUCCUGACUCGUAGAAAGCCUUCUCCUCAGAGCUCCAGUAACCGAUGAUGGAGACCUUGAAUUUGUUCUGCAGCCACUUUCACUGGACCAGCGCAUUUCCCAGUCUAAAACUCUUUGGGUAAACAUGUAUCCUUAAGCCAGUUAAUCCCACAGGGAACUUUGUGGAAAAGACCCUGUUUUUACCUUGAUCAAAGAUGAAUGGAGCAUCUCAACAUCAUGUCAAAUGUGCAUGUACCAGGAAAAGAAAUGAUAACCAAAUGGAAGAUUAUUUAUUUUGUUUUGUUUGUCCUCCAAAGAAGCUGAGAGGACUGUUUCUGGAGUAAUUCUCAAUUUGAAACCUAAGUCUUCUCUUACAAUGUGCAUUUUAAGUUCUUUUUAUCCGAAUUUAAUUCCUAUCCUAAGCCAUGUUCUCGGCAAACGUUGGCUAGGAUUUAGGUUAUAGUCUUACCUGAGAGUAUAAGAGACAAUUGAGUAGGCUACAGACCAUUUCUGUUAUUUUCUUUUCUUUGUACAACCCCGGGAAGCCUGAUAGUUUAAAAGAGUUUUCGCUGGCUUUUUAAAGGGGAGUCUUUGUAAUUUUCCUAAAGCUUUCCAUCAUUUGCUCUCCAUUUUUUGCAAAACCAGUUUUUUUUCUUUCUCCUUAUGAGACAGGUGAGAUCGUCCAAACAAUUGUUAAGGGAAAAUUCCCAUUUCCUUGGCUUUGAAUUCCACUUUCUCCAGGACUUAAUUUUCUAGCUUUCUACUUUCAAAGCCACAUGUUUUUUCCCCCCUCCUUUUGCCAAUGAACCCCUGAAUCUGAAAAAGUGCUUUAGCUACGCCCAGCAGUCACGCCUUCCAGCUCUGCAGAAUGAAGGCAAAGCUGCCUUCCUUUUAUUGAAUCCUUUGAGGAACAACGCACUUUUUCUGAGCCUUUGUAAACCACGAGAUAAGCCUUGUUCCACUUUCUCCACCUCCUCCUCUCCUUUGCCCCCCAUCAGGUGCCCCUUGUCCCUAUGUUCAUUCAUUUGUUCUGUCCUGGUGGGAGGGCAGGGGAGAUGCGCGUAAGGGGGCACAUGGACCAGCUUCUCUCAAAUUCAUACCCUCCAUCCACUUGGGCUAGAUUUCAAAUGUCAUAAUCUGCAGCCCACCUGGCUCACCCCACCUAGGGUGCACCUGUUGGGGAGUGGCUGUUCAAUACGCAGGUGAGCUAAAUUCACAACUUUGAGUGCAGUUACAUCUCUUGGAGGUUCAGAGUCGAUCCUCGUUUUCGCGUUGCACAGAUGACCAAUGAAAUCCUUCACUCCUAGUGAUGCCUUUUUUUUUGUCGUUCAAUCACCUGCCAUUCUAACUACAGUCGUGGGACUCCACGUGGUAUGGAUCUUCCUUCUGCAAACAUCUCUCCUUUGACUAUGUUUGAAAGUGGAAAUCUGGUUCUCUAAAAAAGACAAUCGACUGUUUAAAUCCUUGCUGGGACAAUCUCCGCGUCCAGCCAGAAGAACCGAGAACGUGAUCCGUUCUCGAACUGACUCGUGCUGGGGAAAUUCAGUUUGCUGGCCACAGGUUGACUUUUCAGCUGUGAAGAACUGCUGCCAUGUGCCUUUACUGGGGGGGGGGGGGGGGGGGGAAUGAUGUUGCGUAUUUGCUGAGCUGAUGAGGCCAGAUACUCACAUUUUUACCUCCUGAAAAUAGAUCAAAGAUCCCGUUUAUAUUUUCCUUGAGAUUUGAACCUGUUCGCAGCGGGGAUCAUAUUCACUUGAUGUCUCCUUUUUUGAAAGGGGGGGGGGGGGGAAUGCACUUUUUACCACUCUCCCAUGCUGUGUUGCUGCAUUUAUUUGGUAGGGAAGUGGGCAUGACCUGAAUCAUGGAGAAUAACACACUCCAAUCUUGUUGAGACUCUGUAUACAGGACUGCCAACCGCCUGCACAGCUCUUAACCUUUUGGACAAGUGACGUUGAGGUCCGGAUUCCUUGCCUACCUUCUCUGGCCGGCUGGGUGACCUUGCACUUUUGGAAACGGUCAGAUUUCCUAGGAGAAUAAAAGGCUUCUUUCAGUCCACGAGUAUUACAGGAAAGAGCAAAAACGGCUGGAAAGGGCAGAGAUCAUUUAAAUGCUAAGACGAAAUGUCUCCCCAAUCAGUUGUUUUCCCCGGCCUUUCUGGCUUUCUGGUCUGGGGGGUGGGAGAGAGGAAAUGGCUCUGUGCAAGCAACAGGAGCGCACACCCGCAGCUCCGUUUUUGGAGCUUCACACAAAUGGAGCUUGACGCACCGUUUGCACAAGUGGAGCUGCGUGCGUGAAUUGCGUGCCUGACACUUGCACAGCCCGGUUCCGAAUGGGCCGUGGCCUGGGGGGCUUGGGGACCCCUGUAAUUCAGUCUUCCCAGGAUCUUCAUGCUGGGUUCUGCGUCUUUUCAUGCGUUCUGUUUAAACAGACUCAUCUGAGCUCACGCAGAAACCUUUUCCCACAAGGUGUUAUGGUUCAUCCUUCUAGGAAAUGGAUGCUGGGUCUGAUUUGGGGGUGGAUUAAAGCAUCUCACCUGGCAUUACCUGCUGACACAUUCCUGGACUGUAAAAACAGGAGGUUGGCUGUAGGUUGGGCCAACACCACGAUGGGGCUCCCAACACCUCUUCCCUCCUUGUGCACCUACCUCAUGUCUUAAGCAGGUGCUGGAGUGUUGUUAUUUCCCCCCCCUCUGGUUGUAGUUUGCUUUAUUUUUAAAUACAGUUUUUGCUGCAUAACUUAUAUUAUCAGUUAGAGCUUUCAGAAAGAAAUGGGAUGGUUCAAACAUUUGGAUAUCUUUUGGAAGAGGGAGAGUUACUUCUCAAAAGCAUGGAUGCAGACUUUGGUACCUCUGCUUCUGAAAACGGAAGGCUGAAUGAGCACUGCUGUGCUUUCUUUUGUCUUCCAUUAAGUUGAAUAUUAUCUGUUGUGGUUUGAGGGGGCUCCUAACACAUUGAGAAGACCCACUCUUAAGAAACUAUAGCUCCUACGAACAUCCCCCAUGCCUAAAAGGUGUAAUUUUAGGCCAGACUGUUCAUUGUGGAAAAAAUUAGGAAAUGCAAAGAGGUCGUCUGUUUAAGAUGACAUCAUGUGAUGAGUCAGAACAUCACUUCUUUCCAACCUGGUGUUUUCCAGGUGUAUUGGUCUUUUGGCUAGGCUAGGAGAUUGGGAGUAGGAAUAUCCAAUGCAUCUGGAAGGGAUUUAUUUGAGGAAAUCACCUGUGAUCUGUGUUCAGUUGGGGACAAAUGCCCGUUUUGAAUUUUCUGUAGUCCCUCUGUUGCAUUUUCAUCAGGGAACUAUAGAAAUUUGGCCUCCUCAUAUGGUUCUUGAACACAGUGGGAAUGUUUUCAUUUUACAUUGGUGACAAAUAGAACUCCAGAACUAAUUCUGGUGUUUACAUCACUGUUACAAUCAGUUAAUUCAGUUGCUACUAGUUUUAGUUGGGUGUUCAUUGCCGAAAUCACACCCUGAGGAAGAUACUUUUGAAUGGGCUGGUGUUAUUAAUAUUAUUAUUAUUGUAGUAGUAGUAAUAGUUUAAAAGUUCUACAAAGGUUCACAUCGGACAGAUGGUACUUGAAUAGCAGUUCAGUUUUCUCACCCACGGUGGCUUUAAGGUUUAAUUGGUUUAACAAUUUUAAAGGUGCUAAGGUUGAGAAAUGCGGCUGUAGAAUACAGAAUCCCAAACUCUGCAGUUUUCCAGCUUACCUAAUUAGUCCUUUGGGUGCAGGUAUUUCUCUGUUCAUAUCAGUGUGUGUGAGAAACACAACACCUUAACAGAUUUCUUGUAUUUAUUUGGCAUUUUUAAAACAUUCCCUUCCUAUCUGACCCCUGUCUCUGUCUUAAUCUUGUUGGUGAUGGAAAGAGGUAGGCUUAACUUAAACAACAACAACCCAAACUCUAUACUUCCAACCGCAGGAGAAUAUGAGCCAAAUAAUGUAAUGUUGAAAUACGCAAUGAUCUCCUGUAUUGAUAUAGUAAUCACUUGGGCUUGAGUUUGUAUGCAUGUGUGGGCUAUUAUGUCUUAUUGUUUAUUUUGUGAGAUUUGAAUUCAUGCCGUUGCUGUAUAAUAACGAUGAACAAGGGUGGGGGUGUCAUCUAAAUUGGGGGGGAUAUUCUGCUAACUGUUCCUGAAAUGUAGAGUUCCAAGAGGAGUCUUGAAAGACUCGUGCAAGUCCUAUCGCUCUUGAUGGAGAUGCACGGACUGAAGGUGGGGAAAAUCUGUCGUGUGUUCAGCUUUUUGGUCAGGUGCAAUAUUAAAACAUGUGAACACGUUUAACCUGCUGGUCUUUUUUAAAACAGUGGCCUCUGAAGGUUGUGGGGAUAGGCUGUGCUUUGAGAAUGCAAGAGAAGUAGAGAUGCAAGCACACGUACCACACUACAUUGCCUCCACGCACACAAACCACCGUUCCUGUUGGAGACCCCUGUUUUGGAGGAAUCUUCCCUUUGCAUCAAUGAGACCAGAGAAGCAACUGUGUUGUGGGAAUGGAUUGAAUAUUGAUUCUCAAGGCAAGAUGGGCAGCUUUCUCCUCCUUGCACACCACAACUCUUUUUAAAUUUUUGCCUACCCAUCGGUUCUUCUAAGAGGAGCUGGCUUGUAGAGCCAACCAGCUUGGCCUUGAGCCAUGCGGGAAGGCAGGGGGCAUGGCCUCUUCCUUUUUUGUGUGGCCCCCGUUAGAACAGGCUCUCCAAACUUGGCAACUUGUGGGCUUCAACUCCUAGAAUGCUUCAGCCAGUCCACAAGCCUUUAAAAACCACCAAGUUUGGAGAGGCUGCCCUAGAAGAACCCAGGUGUGAUUUGCAAAGGUCUUCCUCUAACCUUUCAUAGGAACCAGAAGGGUCUUUUGGGAAAGCCCGGUUGGAUUUGAAGGGUGGGGAAUGACUUUUGGCCUGAAAGUCCAUCGUGUCCAACGAUGGUGGGGAGGCUUUCGAAAGAAUCCUACUUCCCAAGGACCAAGGAGGGUCAGCAAACGUUGGGAUGACAAUCAGUGCGCCAUAGCCAGGAACUCUUUUCCUUUUGCGAUGUAAGCAUUUUGUAUUCUCUGAAGCGAUCAAAUGAAAUAAAAGUUGAAGACGUUGACAAAAGCUC